GAAAAAUCUCGAAAGAUUUGUCUCUCACCUUGUAAACAAGUGACAUUAAACUAAUUAGGUCGAUUUGGUAUGUUCAAAUACUGGGAAGCAUUGUCAGGCAGGUUUUACUCUGAUGCUUUCACAAAGAUGCUUCAUCUUCAGAGAGUCAUGAGAGGACUUUGGCAGGUACUCUAGAGUACAGGUUUCUCAUAAGAUCAUGAAACAACUUGGUAAGAAUUUCCAGAACUAAUGGAAAUACUGGACUCAAGUAGAACAAGAAUAGUAUGGAAUUGAAUGAGCUGAUGAAGAUGAUUACAUUUUUUCUUAGAAACA